GACGGUAAGAAUUUAUUCCUACAUUAACGUGUCUUUAAUAUUUGUACUAAGUUCUACUGUACACAAGUGAUAUAUUCUACAUGUAGCUUGAAGGAAGAAUAGAUACAUGUACUGUAAGUUCCCUUGGAUUCUGCAUGUAACGAGAGAGAGGCCAUAUAAAUCAUGAAGUGAAUAAAGAUGGAUAGAGGAGCGCAUGGAAAAGAGUUGGAGAUAAGACCCAAACGGGCACCUAUGUUGUAUGGGGAAAUUGCUAAACGAAAAGCGUCCAAACACGACCUUACAAAGGAAAAGGUUCAAGAGUUGUUUGAUGCGUUCACGAUGUUCGAUAAGAAUGGAGAACAAAACUAUCACGGCGGAUGAA